ensembl:lncRNA
CCUAGCUGGCAGCAUGGGUCAUCCUGGUCAAGUUGAGUCAGGACUGGUUCUGAGAGCUCCUGGGAGAACCACAUGAACCUGAGGAGCCAUCUAGUCUCCAUCAUGAGGUGGCAGUCAUGCAAUGAUGGCCCCUCCUGCAGGGGCAGCCUCCAUUCCGUCAUGGGUAACGGCUCCCGCUUGGUGGGCAACCUCAUCAGGCACCUACAAGGCUCAGUUUUUCCCAAAUCCAAGGGGACUGUGGGCUUAGGACAAUGACUCCAGACUUCUAGGCAUCACUGGGGGGCUCCAGAACUGGGUAUUGUAAAAGCUGGAACUCGGAUGUUCUUACAAAUCCUGAAUGUAACUUCAGUUACUCCUCUUUCGCCAUCCUAAAUCUUGAAGGGGAUGAGACACCAGACGCAUUUAGGGCUGGUGACACAGGCAGGCCUUUCUUAAGUGUUAACCUGCCUAUGUGAGAGCUACACCCAAGUUUAAAGCAAUACAUGAAAUGAACACAAAAUGAAGGUGGGGACGCCAAGCUCCAUCCUGCUCUUAGCUACCCACUGGGCACCUCCACGUCCUGCUGUCUCACUCUGGACAUCAGCGUGCGUGAACGAGGUAUUGGCACUCUGAAAGCCUGGCCUCUCAUUAGUCACUCCCACCUCUCAUGCAGCAGGAGGCAGCAGGAUUUCUCACACACAGCAAUCAUUUCUUUCUCUGGUAAAGACAGUAAUCUUGGGAAAAGAAGGGCAAUUAUCUUAGCAGAAUUACCAACCUUGCAGGGUGACAUUAUCAACUGUUGGAAAUUACAUGGUAUUCAUUUGCUGCUAUUUUAAUGUUUGUCGUCUUCUACUUCCCCCCUUCCCCAGCCCAGUGCUGAAUCCCCUACCUUCCCACCUCCUUCUUUCUUUUGAUUAAUCCUGGGAAAUAACUUCCUUAUUUUUAGCAGGCUGAUGCUCCUAGCAGGGAUUUGAUAUUGAGGAUCAUAAUAAGGACUUCCACACUUUCAGCUGGGGCUCAGCCACCACCCUUUGGAUUUUCCAAUGGUGCUUCAGCACGUCUGUGGCUGCCAACAAGGAAAUGCCCACUGGACACCUGAUGGCUGGAUUCAAAGCUGCCUGGCUGCUCUUCCCUCCUUCAGUGAUGAGUGCCUGGUAGCCCGGAAGAGUUCCCAGGCCUUUUCCUGUUAUCCCCGAGAAGUCUCCAACGGGUGCGAGGUCCAGCAUCUCAUCUCGACCCAGAGGCAGAGAUUGACACGUGGGAGGCUGGGGCAGCCUGGUAACUUCUCAGCCUACACAGCGCCACCUGCUGGCUCCCUUCUCCUGCGCAGCCAGGAAGCAGGAGGCAGAGUGGAAGGGGAAGUCCUCAGGCACACGCUGUCUCUGGAUGUGAAGUCAGCUCUGCAGAACGUCCUGGCCGUUCGACCUUGAGGAAGCUGCGGUUCAGCUCCAGACUGUGUAACCACCUUGUGAGAAGACCUGUUCACCCUGACCCAGUCUGAGGAGGCACAGCCUGGAGAGGGGGAGAAAAGGCCAAAGCCCCCACCCCACUCUAAUUCUGUGUUGAUUCUGGUCAAGGCCCUUCAUUAAUGAAAGGCAUUAGUUUUGUUUCUCAAAGAAAAACAAUUUUAGAUACUAAGGUCGUGUGCAACCUUGGCUGAGGGUUGCUGUCGUUCUACUACUGACAGAGCAUUGCUGCAGAUGGAUUAUCACUGCUGUCAAACCUCCCAACAGGCUCUUUCUUUGGACAGCUUUCAUCAGACCUCUGAACCUUCUCCUACACCCAUUUGUGCAAGACCUUGUCAAGUCGGACUUUUUUCGGUGCAGGGGAUCAAACUCAGGACCUUCCACUUGUAAGGCAGGCACGGUGCCACUGAGCUAAAUCCCGGCCCUUCAAGUCUGAUUUUAGCAAAGAGCUCACGCCCUCAGCAUCCCUCACCCUGGUGUCUGGGGAGGCCCCUCAUCCUGUGCCAGAAGACAUCAGGUUUCCCUGUCCUGAAUGCACCCAUGAUUCUUCAGGUCAGCACAGCCCGGGUCCUGGCCCUUGCGCUUCUCCGUCAUUUUCCACCCACUGACCUCACCCUGCCUGGGCGAAGACUCCCGCUUGGCCACGCUGCAGGUGACGUGAACCCUAAUCUCAGUGCUCCCUGCAAGAUCAUACUGAGUGGUCCCGACACCCCAAUACCUGGAUGGUCCUGGACAAAGUCCUUCUUGCCACAGUUUCACAAGUGUCACUGAAUGUUUUUUUCUGUAACAUCCCCAAGAUUUUUACUCUAAGAAGCCUUUCCUGUAACCCUAAAUGCAUCCCUGGUCUGCAUAAAGUUAGUUUUCGGGUGGGGGUGACUUUUUCAAUGUCCAGCUUCUCGGUGGCCCUGAAGAAGAGGCCUCAGACCUACGCUGGACGAAUGCUGAGGUGCAGAUGUCUGGAGAGUGCAUUUCGCCCCAAGGACUACAGUUACCACAGCAAGAAGCCUGGGCCCCGUGGAGGUGGCCAGAAGCCCUGAGCACCCUGACUCUGGGAUUACGUCUUUGCUCAGAGUCCUGUUUCGCUCCCACACCCAGAUGAGACUGGCUGUCUCAACUUUCCAUGGCACAGCGACGUAGCUGAAGAUGUGACUAAAAGCAUUUGCGUUCUGUGGGCCUCUUGAAGGCAAUCAGGGUGGAUUUGGUUUGUCCGGGUCUCCAACACCAACUUCAGUGCCCAGAAAGCAAUGCAUCUUUGGUGUUUGUGGAGUGAAUGAAAGGUUAGCACAAGGGUUAGCUAUGCCGUUUUGUCAACAGCAAAGACCUUCAAGCAGUACUUCAAACCAAUGCUUUCAUAAUUCUCACAAACUAGCUCACAGAUCUAGAGUGUGUCACAUUAUAAUAUUAAAUAUAACAUUAAAAUAUUGCAUUUUAUGAUUAAACAAAAUAGGCAUUGUAAAUACCAGGAAAAAUGCAAAGAAAAUUAAAAAAUCUGUAA